rnacentral:ncRNA from 1 species
UUGCGGGUGGAAGUCCCGUCCCGGUAGGUACCGGAGCGCCGGGUAGCAGGUCCCGGUUCGUCGGAGAGAUCCGGCGGGCUGAGCGGGAUGUCGAGAGCCUUGUUGGAGGGAGCAAUCGCGCGGGCCGCAGCGUUA